rnacentral:ribozyme from 13 species
GAGAAAAUUGUGAAAUAUCAUCCUCAGUGUAUUUCUUCUUCUCUUUCUUUUCUCUUCGCUCUUUUCUUGCUCUCUCUCUUUCCUCCUUUCUCCAAGAAGAAGGUAAACUCCAAUCCCCCUCAUCAAAAGA